GUGCCAGCAGCCGCGGUAAGACGAACCGUGCGAACGUUGUUCGGAUUCACUGGGCUUAAAGGGCGCGUAGGCGGCAGGUAAAGUCCGGGGUGAAAUCUUUCAGCUUAACUGGAAAAGUGCCCCGGAUACUGACUUGCUCGAGGGAGGCAGGGGCCGAGGGAACUUCCGGUGGAGCGGUGAAAUGCGUAGAGAUCGGAAGGAACGCCGGUGGCGAAAGCGCUCGGCUGGACCUCUUCUGACGCUGAGGCGCGAAAGCUAGGGGAGCAAACGGGAUUAGAUACCCCGGUAGUCCUAGCCCUAAACGAUGGGUACUAGAUUGUGGACUGAACAUGGGUUCCCAGUCGAAGCAAAAGUGUUAAGUACCCCGCCUGGGGAGUAUGGUCGCAAGGCUGAAACCUAAAGGAAUUGACGG
rnacentral:rRNA from 1 species